rnacentral:rRNA from 1 species
UACAGAGGCCUCGAGCAUUAGGCGGAAUCACUGGGCUUAAAGCGUGUGUAGGUGGAUGCCUAAGUACCUUGUGAAAUCCCACGGCUUAACCGUGGAACUGCUGGGUAUACUGGGCGUCUUGAGCCACUCAGGGGCUACCGGAACAAGCGGUGGAGCGGUGAAAUGCGUAGAUAUCGCUUGGAACGCCAAUGGUGAAGACAGGUAGCUGGGGGUGUGCUGACACUGAGACACGAAAGCCAGGGGAGCAAACGGG